AGGGAGGCAACGACCUUGAUGAAGGAAGCCGAUAACAAAACUCCAGCCUGACGAACAGGAAUCGGAUGUGAGGCGUGUAUCUUGGGAGAGUCGGCAAAGCUCGAUUAACCCAAAGCUGUUCCGGAAGGGAUGCACGUAGAUCCGGCAGGUGGGGAGGGAAGCACAUGUG
rfam:Sutterella wadsworthensis 2_1_59BFAA genomic scaffold supercont1.5, whole genome shotgun sequence.